ACGCUCGACACCUACGGGGGCAGCAGUGGGGAAUAUUGCACAAUGGGGGAAACCCUGAUGCAGCGACGCCGCGUGAGCGAAGAAGUAUUUCGGUAUGUAAAGCUCUAUCAGCAGGGAAGAAACUGACGGUACCUGACUAAGAAGCACCGGCUAAAUACGUCNNNNCGCCGAGUAUNGNGGCGNGNGAGAG
rnacentral:rRNA from 1 species